UACGUAGGUGGCAAGCGUUGUCCGGAAUUAUUGGGCGUAAAGAGCUCGUAGGCGGUUUGUCGCGUCUGCCGUGAAAGUCCGGGGCUUAACUCCGGAUCUGCGGUGGGUACGGGCAGACUAGAGUGCAGUAGGGGAGACUGGAAUUCCUGGUGUAGCGGUGAAAUGCGCAGAUAUCAGGAGGAACACCGAUGGCGAAGGCAGGUCUCUGGGCUGUAACUGACGCUGAGGAGCGAAAGCAUGGGGAGCGAACAGG
rnacentral:rRNA from 1 species